rnacentral:ncRNA from 20 species
UAUGUAGUGCCUCAUGUUGGUGCCUCGGGCUUCGGCCCGUGGCUCAAAAGGGAACCCGGUGCGAAUCCGGGGCUGCCCCGCAGCGGUAAGCGAGAACGAUCUCCACGACGCGCACUGGCCCUCGGGCUGGGAAGCGGUGGACCGUAGGAAGCCGGCGAGAGCCGGAGCGCUCGCGAGCCCGAAGACCUGCCAACAUCCUGCGUCGGGGA